rnacentral:rRNA from 1 species
UACAGAGGUCUCAAGCGUUGUUCGGAUUCAUUGGGCGUAAAGGGUGCGUAGGCGGCGGAGCAAGUCAGGUGUGAAAUCCCAGGGCUCAACCCUGGAACUGCACUUGAUACUGCUUCGCUAGAGUACUGGAGAGGAGACUGGAAUUUACGGUGUAGCAGUGAAAUGCGUAGAGAUCGUAAGGAAGACCAGUGGCGAAGGCGAGUCUCUGGACAGUUACUGACGCUGAGGCACGAAGGCCAGGGGAGCAAACGGG